CCCACAUCUAAUUUCGAGAUGCGCAGCGUGUUCAGAUGGGCACGGAUUAUGUUUCAUCCAUGUGACCAUUUUACAUCACAUCGUAUCCUGUACUUAUAGCAUUUCAAUCUGUACGCAUGAGGGGGAGCGGGGAGCAGGAUUGCGUAUAGAACAUAUCUGGAUAUCAGGCGCACAAUCGCCGGACCGAGGAGCACUGGCGGUGGUGCAGGGCGCGGGCAGGCCGUGUCCGCCGCUGCCAUAUCCAGGGCGGCACGGUGCGGAGCCAGUGGGGCGCGGGCCGCCGCCGGCCGCCACGGCGCGGUGUUGGGUUGUCGGAUCUGGGGAGGCCGGUCGCCGAUGAGGUGCGGCAUCGGCGUCACGCACGUGGCUUGGGGGCCAAAGGGGACCGACGCGCAGCCGCAGGACGGGGUGUGAUGGGGCAGCGAGCGCCUCAGGAACUUCCCCGCGCCGCCGCCUUCCCGUGCCACCUACAACGGUAGCAGCGCGUUGCCGGGAUGGCACCUAGCGGCGCAGAGACCACCAGUGAUCGGAUCCUGCGGCAGUGGGUGCGAGGGGCCUUGAUCCGGCAGCGCACGACGGCGGCGACACUUCCUGGCGCCGGCGCGGCUAGGAUCCAGGCGUGGACUUGCGAGCAGCAGCUCCAGCGCUUGUGCCCGCGGAUUCUUGCGCCCCGGUCGGGCGGCCGUCGUCACGCUCCAGCACGGCCACGCAUCCACGGCGAGCCCAUUGGCUCCCUUCCCCGCGCGUUGUUUUGCCCGCGCAGGACCAUGCUCCAAUCACCGGCCGGGGCGAGCGGCGCGGCGAGGGUCGUGGCAAGCCCGGACUUGGCCGGCACCAGGGGCACCCUGGCGCGACGGCCAAAGCUCGACAUGGCGAAGGUCCCCCGCCGCUAGGGUGUGCCGGAGCCAAGCCGCGUCAAGUCCGGCAUGGCGCAGGUCGGCCGCCGCAGCGCGAGGCCAUAUCGCAUGCGACGCAUCACGCGAGGCGAGCGCGAGGGGUGCAGCCACCGGUGCCCCUGCCUCGCAUGGCAGCACGCGGCCCUGGGUGACCUGCCCGGCGCGGGGGGACCUCGACGAGCACAACCAGCAAUCACGUGCGGUGACCAGAGGCAUGCCGCGACAUGGGGCGAAUCUUAGUUUUCUUUUUUUUCUUUUUUUUUGCUGGCACUGCUGGUUUGUCCUUUUUAAUGUGGCCGAUUGCUGUUUUAUGUUUUUCUCUCUCUUUUCUAGCCUUUUGCCGCUUCUUGUUUCUCUUUUUUUUUUCCGAUCUGGAUCUUGCGUAUUUUUUUCCCUUUGUGCUGUACAGAUUCAAGAGAUCUGGGGCAAUGACGGUGUAGCAGUACCUCUAUUCUUAUGUUCAUGCGUCCAUCGUAUUUGUCUGUUGUUCAUUUUCAUUUAUUGUUCA